UACGUAGGGUGCAAGCGUUGUCCGGAAUUAUUGGGCGUAAAGAGCUCGUAGGCGGUCUGUCACGUCGGCUGUGAAAACCCGGGGCUCAACCCCGGGCCUGCAGUCGAUACGGGCAGACUAGAGUGCGGUAGGGGAGACUGGAAUUCCUGGUGUAGCGGUGAAAUGCGCAGAUAUCAGGAGGAACACCGGUGGCGAAGGCGGGUCUCUGGGCCGUAACUGACGCUGAGGAGCGAAAGCGUGGGGAGCGAACAGA
rnacentral:rRNA from 1 species